rnacentral:rRNA from 1 species
AGAUGGGUAGAAGAGACAGGUCGUGGACUAUACGGGAGUGAGAAUGCAGACAUGAGUAGCGAGAGACAGGUGUGAAUCCUGUCCGCUGAAUGACUAAGGGUUCCGGGGCCACGUUCGUCGUCCCCGGGUGAGUCGAGUCCUAAGGCGAGGCCGACAGGCGUAGUCGAAUGGAUGAACGGGUUGAUAUUCCCGUACCGGUGUUACACCGUUCGAACUGAAUCUGAGAGUACUAACCUUCGUUAUUCUGGUUGAUUAUCUUUCGGGGUUUUCUUCUGGUUUAGUGUUGGGAGCGUAUCGGUAGUAGGUUAGCGUGGGAGUGACGCGGGUAGGUAGCCGGCUGCGGAGGUGGUUUUCCGUGGCUAAGCGUGUGGGCUGUCCUCUAGGUAAAUCCGGGGGAUGUUAAGCUGAGGCGUGAUGGGUAGGCUGUAAGGCUGAUUCCGGUGAUCCUGCUUGCCGAGAAAAGCUUCAACGUGAGGUGUGAUUCCGCUCGUACCCUAAACCGACACUGGUGGUCUGGUAGAGUAUACCAAAGCGAUCGGGCGAAUCCUGGCCAAGGAACUCGGCAAAUUACUCCCGUGCCUUCGGCAUAAGGGAGACCCCUGAUGGUGAUGUUUUUUACAAGCGGAGCUGUUGGGGGUGGCACAAGCUAGGGGGUAGCGACUGUUUACCAAAAACACAGGAGCGUGCGAAGGCGUAAGCCGCUGUAUACGCUCUGACGCCUGCCCGGUGCCGGAAGGUUAAGAGGAUCCGUUAGCUUCGGUGAAGCGGUGAAUUUAAGCCCCGGUAAACGGCGGUGGUAACUAUAACCAUCCUAAGGUAGCGAAAUUCCUUGUCGGGUAAGUUCCGACCUGCACGAAUGGCGUAACGACUUCCCCACUGUCUCGGCCAGGAGCCCGGCGAAAUUGCAGUACGAGUAAAGAUGCUCGUUAAGCGCAGAAGGACGAAAAGACCCCGGGACCUUUACUAUACCUUGGUAUUGUCGUUAGGUGUGGAUCGUGUAGCAUAGGCGGGAGGCUGUGAAGCGUGGGCGCUAGCUUGCGUGGAGUCGAUCAGUGAAAUACCGCUCUUUCCAUAUCUGGCGUCUAACCUCGACACGUUAUCCGUGUUAGGGACAGUGCCUGGCGGGUAGUUUAACUGGGGCGGUUGCCUCCUAAAGAGUAACGGAGGCGCUCAAUGGUCCGCUCAGCCCGGUUGGCAAUCGGGUGUUGAGUGUAAUCGCACAAGCGGGCUUGACUGUGAGACUGACGGGUCGAGCAGGGACGAAAGUCGGAGAUAGUGAUCCGGUGCCGGCGUACGGACGUGGCAUCGCUCAACGGAUAAAAGGUACCCCGGGGAUAACAGGCUGAUCAUUCCCAAGAGUCCAUAUCGACGGGAUGGUUUGGCACCUCGAUGUCGGCUCGUCGCAUCCUGGGGCUGGAGCAGGUCCCAAGGGUUCGGCUGUUCGCCGAUUAAAGCGGCACGCGAGCUGGGUUCAGAACGUCGUGAGACAGUUUGGUCUCUAUCCUCUGCGCUCGUUGGAAUGUUGAGGAGACCUGCCCAUAGUACGAGAGGACCUGGGUGGACGAACCUCUGGUAUGCCGGUCGUCACGCCAGUGGCGCUGCCGGUUAGCUACGUUUGGAAGGGAUAACCGCUGAAAGCAUCUAAGCGGGAAGCCUGCUCCAAGAUUAGCAUUCCUUGCACUUUGUGUGUGAGCCCCCAUGUAGAACACGUGGUUGAUAGGCUGGAUGUGGAAGCCCUGUAAGGGGUGGAGCUGACCAGUACUAAUGGGCGAUUGUGAUACUAC